AAGAAAGUGACUGCCGCCCCGCACAGGGGCAACGCUAAUAGACCGACACGAAAACAGGAUUUCAUAGAAGAAGCGAGGACCAACCACAGCCCCCU
rnacentral:sRNA from 1 species